rnacentral:rRNA from 1 species
UACGGAGGGGGCGAGCGUUGUUCGGAGUCACUGGGCGUAAAGCGCACGUAGGCGGUGCUGUAAGUCUGGGGUCAAAGGCUACGGCUCAACCGUAGUAAGGCCUCAGAUACUAUCGUGCUAGAGUGCCGGAGAGGGUAGCGGAAUUCCCUGUGUAGCGGUGAAAUGCGUAGAUAUAGGGAGGAACACCGGUUGCGAAGGCGGCUACCUGGCUGGUAACUGACGCUGAGGUGCGAGAGCGUGGGGAGCAAACAGG